GACACUGCCCCACCAGAGACGCGCAGUGUGCCGAUGGGGCGGCGGGGCGGUGUCCCCGUGUGGGGCGGGGCCUGGAAGGGGCGGGUCGGCAGGGCGUCCCCGUGUGGGGCGGGGCCUGGGGGGGCGGGGCGGCACCGCGUCCCCGUGCGGGGCGGGGCCUGGGAGGGGAGGGGCGGGGCCUGGGAGGGGCGGGGCGGCAAGAGUCCCCGGAAGGAGGCUUGCUUGUUCCCGGCCGGGCGGAGGCCCACGUGUCGCGCGACCUCCUCAGCUUUCCGCCUGGGGUCAGCUUCCGGUGGGGUUGCAUUAACCGCCCCCCCCAACCCCCCAGCCCGAGUCGUCCCAGCGGCCGGCUCUGUGCAGCCACGUCGAGACCCAUUGAUGUACUGUCCCCGUCGCUUCCCGUCUGUCCUCUCCCAGCGCUUCAGACCACGCGGUUGCCACGGCGGUGACAUGACCCAUAAUAGUCCCUGCCUCCUCCAGUAAAUGAAGGGACAGAGGUUUCCCAGGGAGCAGACAGAGAGAGUGUGUGCAAUCAGGGGAGAGGCAGAAAAUCACAAGGAGGCACCACGUUCACCUCGGAGCCGACGCGGGGCUCAACCCCACAACCCUGGGAUCAUGACCUCGGCUGAAACCAAGAGUCAGAGGCUCUGGACUCCUGGGUGACUCCGCUGAGGAACAGACUCUUGAUUUCCGCUCAGGUUAUGAUCUCGUGGUUCAUGAGAUCGAGCCCCAUUCGAGCUCAGCUCUGCUGAGUGUGGAGCCUGCUUAGGAUUCUCUCUCUCCCUUUCUGUCGGCUUCUCCCCUGCUUGUGUGCUCUCUCUCUUUCUCUCAAAAUAAAUAAAUAAAAAAAAGACUCGGUUGACUGA